rnacentral:lncRNA from 1 species
UUCCCUAACCUUAAGGAGCUGUCAAUAAAUGAUUGCCCAAAGUUGAGAAUGGAACCAUGCCUUCCUAGAGCAAAGAAAUGGGAGAUAGAGAACAGCAAUAAUGUAUUAUCAUUAUGGGGAGAAACUCGUGCUACCUCCUCUGUUGCACCUAUGGAUGUGAGUGUAACAGUCAGAUCUGACAAAGCGCCUUUGGAUCAGUGGAAGUUCUUUCACGACCUCCCUUCCCUGAGUACUUUACACAUCAAAUGUUGCACUGAUCGGACAUGCAGCUCCAAUAUGCUAAGCCAAUUCCUGUUCAACAUCAUGUCACGGUGGUUCACAAAUUCUAAUGAUUUGUACAUAACUAAGCUGAUGAAAAGACAAGUUAUUAACGAUUUGAAACUACAGUGGACUAGAAAUGCUGGUGGUUCUGUGGAGGAUGUGGAAGUACUGGGAAAGCUUGUACCACCAAGUAGUUUGAGGGAAUUUAAUAUGACAGGUUACAGCAGUAUGAGGUUUCCUGCCUGGGUUAUGGACAUUACGCUUUAUCUCCCAAGUCUUAGCAAGAUUGAAUUGUGGGAUAUACGCAAAUGCAACAGCUUACCACCACUUGGCCAAUUAACAAACUUGCAAGAGCUAGUUAUAGGUGUAAUGGAUAGCAUUACGACAAUUGAUGGGGAUUUCUGUGGCGGUGAAAGAGCCUUCCCUGAAUUGAGGAAAUUUUGCUUAUGCCGUAUGGGAAACCUCAAGUUGUGGGAGACAAUGUACUCCUAUGACAUGGGUAGUGUGAAGAAAUUCAUGUUCCCAAACCUUGUGGAAUUGUUAAUACGUGAUUGCCCAAAUUUAAGAUUGAAACCAUGCCCACCUAGAGCUAAGAGAUGGGAAAUUGAGAGCAGCGAUAAUGUAUUAUCAUCAUGGGGAGAGAAUCUGUCAUGCAACUCAUUAGACAUAAUUGGAGACCUCUCGUUUAUCAAAUCAUUGUUGCUAGAAGAUAAUACUCAGCCAGAACAUCCGAAAUGGUUGGGUGGCCUCAGCUCUAUCCGGAAAAUGGACAUCACAAGGUGUAAAGAGCUGUCUGAUUUGCCUGGGAGCAUGCGAUAUCUGACAUCCCUCCAGGAGCUUUCUUUGAUAGAUUGUCCAAGAAUAAAAGUGCUGCCAGAAUGGUUGGGUGAUCUUACUGCUCUGAAGAAACUUCAGAUCCGGUAUUGUAGGGGUAUCAACUCUUUGCCACAGAGCAUACAGAAGCUUACCAAGCUUAAAGGACUAGCUAUUUACCACUGCCUUGAAUUGGUAGAGUGGUGUAAUUUAGAGAAGAACAAGAACAUGCUGGCUCACAUAAAAGUAAAGGUAUAUGUCCCGCCAUGCUAUCUGCCAUGUCCUACUUAUCUUGACAGUAGCCAAAUUAAACUACACGGUGAUGCAUUUUCAUCUGCAACAUCCCUACAAGUCUUGGAUUUAAGCAAGUGCCACAUAUACAAGUUGCCAGCUUGCAUCAGUGAAUUGGUGAAAUUGAGGUAUCUCAAUGCCCCCAAGAUUCAAAGUCAAACAAUCCCGUAUUGUAUCACCAAGCUCUCGAAACUAAUUUACCUCAACCUAAGUUGGUCCAGGAUGUUAGCAUUGCCUGAGUCAAUUGGUGACUUGAGAUGUUUGAUGCAUCUUGACAUCUCGAAUUGUGAAUUUAUAGAUAACCUCCCAAAAUCAUUUGUGAAUCUCAAAAGGUUGGAAUAUCUGGAUUUAUCAAACAACAGUCAGCUUAGAGGUCUAUCAAAAGCUUUGGGUGGCCUAACCAACAUCCAAUACUUGAAUUUAUCAAUGCAAAUAGGUUAUGUAUUGGGUCAAUUUCUUGAGGGGCUGCCAGAGGUCAUUGGUAAUCUAAUUGGACUCCGUUAUUUAGGUCUAUCACAUACCACACGAUCCAUCUUCUGGAAUUCGAGCUCAGAUGAACUAUUCAGUUUCAUUGACCGUAUAUGUACCCUUUCUAAUCUGCAGCAUCUGGACUUGUCUAAUAAUGAUAGUAUAGUAAGUGUUCCUGAGAGUAUUGGCAACCUCAGGAAUCUGCAUACACUGGACCUCUCUUGCUGUUCACAUCUAGUGAGGCUUCCAGAAUGUUUGGUUAGAAUGGAUAAUGUGAAGAUCUUGAAUGUCACCGGGUGCCGCAAACUGGAAAAAUCUGCACUGUCCCGAUCAAAGAUUUUUGACUUGUUGCCACAUUUCGUGGUCCAAGCUGAUGAAGGUGAAUCUAGCAGCAACAUCGGUCUUCUACAGUACGCAAAUCCUAAUGAGUUGCACAUAACUUGCCUUGAUAAUGUAAAGUCUGCAGAAGAGGUCCAGAGUAUAAAGCUGAUAGAAAAACAAGGGAUUAAUGAUUUGAAACUUCAAUGGACCAGUGAUGCUUGCAGGUCUGUUGAGGAUAUGGAAGUGAUGGCAAGUCUUGUGCCACCAAGCACCUUGAGGGAAUUUAAUAUGACAGGCUACAAUAAUGUGAGCUUUCCGCCCUGGCUUAUGAACAUAAAGCUUUAUCUACCGGAACUUAGCAAGAUUGAACUGUGGCAUAUAUGUAAAUGCAACAGCUUGCCUGCAUUAGGUCAAUUACAAAACCUUAGAGAGCUAAUUAUUGGAGAAAUGGACAGCAUUACGAUCAUCGAAGAGGAUUUUUGUGGUGGUGCAAGGGCCUUCCCUCAGCUGAAGAGAUUUUGUCUAUACCACAUGGAAAAUCUGGAAGCAUGGAAGACGAUGUACUCCAAUGGCAAGGAUGUUGAGAAAGAAUUCAUGUUCCCUAACCUUAAGGAGCUGUCAAUAAAUGAUUGCCCAAAGUUGAGAAUGGAACCAUGCCUUCCUAGAGCAAAGAAAUGGGAGAUAGAGAACAGCAAUAAUGUAUUAUCAUUAUGGGGAGAAACUCGUGCUACCUCCUCUGUUGCACCUAUGGAUGUGAGUGUAACAGUCAGAUCUGACAAAGCGCCUUUGGAUCAGUGGAAGUUCUUUCACGACCUCCCUUCCCUGAGUACUUUACACAUCACAUGUUGCACUGAUCCGACAUGCAGCUCCAAUAUGCUAAGCCAAUUCCUGUUCAACAUCAUGUCACGGUGGUACACAAAUUCUAAUGAUUUGUACAUAACUAAUCUGAUG